rnacentral:sRNA from 8 species
UAUCUCUCUGUACGGGAAGGAUGAGAAGCUUCGACCAAGGUUCGAUUCGAGCGCAGCGAGAAAGCGUUGCCGCAGGCAACGACCCGAAGGGCGAAGCGCGCAGCGCUGAGUCAUCCUUCCCCCACCACCA